CCUACGGGACGCAGCAGUAGGGAAUCUUCCACAAUGGACGAAAGUCUGAUGGAGCAACGCCGCGUGAGUGAAGAAGGGUUUCGGCUCGUAAAACUCUGUUGGUAGAGAAGAAAAAGGAUGAGAGUAACUGUUCAUUCCUUGACGGUAUUUAACUAGAAAGUCACGGCUAACUACGUGCCAGCAGCCGCGGUAAUACGUAGGUGGCAAGCGUUGUCCGGAUUUAUUGGGCGUAAAGCGAGCGCAGGCGGUUUCUUAAGUCUGAUGUGAAAGCCCCCGGCUCAACCGGGG
rnacentral:rRNA from 1 species